AUGUACUCCUCUGAAGCACUGCCUAAAUUCUUCAAACCCUCUUAAAUAUUCGAGCCAAAUUCUUCAAACCCUCUCAAAUAUUCGAGGGCUGUCUACUCCACUCACAUUUCGUGAGGGAUAGACUGACUCCACUUAAUUAUUUGAUAAUUGAGAGAGGAUUGUAAAUAACUGCCAUAAAUAUUUUUAUGGAGGCUCGAACCCUUGCACUCAACAUUGUAA
rnacentral:lncRNA from 1 species